AGAGUUUGAUCCUGGCUCAGGACGAACGCUGGCGGCGUGCUUAACACAUGCAAGUCGAGCGGUAGGGCCUGCUUUUGGGUGGGUCCACGAGCGGCGAACGGGUGAGUAACACGUGAGUAAUCUGCCCUUCACUUUGGGAUAAGCCUCAGAAAUGGGGUCUAAUACCGGAUAUGACCGAGUCCUGCAUGGGGUUUGGUGGAAAGAUUUAUUGGUGGGGGAUGUGCUCGCGGCCUAUCAGCUAGAAGGUGGGGUAAUGGCCUACCUUGGCUUCGACGGGUAGCCGGCCUGAGAGGGUGAUCGGCCACACUGGGACUGAGACACGGCCCAGACUCCUACGGGAGGCAGCAGUGGGGAAUAUUGGACAAUGGGCGGAAGCCUGAUCCAGCAACGCCGCGUGAGGGAUGACGGCCUUCGGGUUGUAAACCUCUUUCAUUACCGACGAAGUCGCCUCUUUUUGGGGGUGGUGACGGUAGGUGGAGAAGAAGCACCGGCCAACUACGUGCCAGCAGCCGCGGUAAUACGUAGGGUGCGAGCGUUGUCCGGAAUUAUUGGGCGUAAAGGGCUCGUAGGCGGUUUGUCGCGUCGGGAGUGAAAACACCGGGCUUAACUCGGUGCUUGCUUCCGAUACGGGCAGACUAGAGGUAUGCAGGGGAGAACGGAAUUCCUGGUGUAGCGGUGAAAUGCGCAGAUAUCAGGAGGAACACCGGUGGCGAAGGCGGUUCUCUGGGCAUGACCUGACGCUGAGGAGCGAAAGUGUGGGGAGCGAACAGGAUUAGAUACCCUGGUAGUCCACACCGUAAACGUUGGGCGCUAGGUGUGGGGUCCAUUCCACGGGUUCCGUGCCGCAGCUAACGCAUUAAGCGCCCCGCCUGGGGAGUACGGCCGCAA
rnacentral:rRNA from 1 species